rnacentral:rRNA from 1 species
UACGUAGGGGGCAAGCGUUGUCCGGAUUUAUUGGGCGUAAAGAGCGUGUAGGCGGCCAGACAGGUCCGUUGUGAAAACUCGAGGCUCAACCUCGAGAUGUCGAUGGAAACCGUCUGGCUAGAGUCCGGAAGAGGAGUGUGGAAUUCCUGGUGUAGCGGUGAAAUGCGCAGAUAUCAGGAAGAACACCAAUGGCGAAGGCAGCUCUCUGGGACGGUACUGACGCUGAGACGCGAAAGCGUGGGGAGCGAACAGG